rnacentral:rRNA from 1 species
UACGAGGGGGGCAAGCGUUGUUCGGAAUUAUUGGGCGUAAAGGGCGCGUAGGCGGUUUGACAAGUCUGAUGUGAAAUCUAUGGGCUCAACCCAUAGCCUGCAUUAGAAACUGUCGGGCUUGAGUAUGGGAGAGGUGAGUGGAAUUUCCGGUGUAGCGGUGAAAUGCGUAGAUAUCUGGAGGAACACCGGUGGCGAAGGCGGCAUCCUGGACCAACACUGACGCUGAGUGAGCGAAAGCCAGGGGAGCAAACGGG